GUAGGGAAUAUUGGUCAAUGGACGAAAGUCUGAACCAGCCAUUCCGCGUGCAGGAAGAAGAUUCUAUGGAUUGUAAACUGCUUUUAGCAGAGAAGAAACGCCUUCAUUGAUGAGGGUUUGACGGUAUCUGCGGAAUAAGCACCGGCUAACUCCGUGCCAGCAGCCGCGGUAAUACGGGGGGUGCAAGCGUUAUCCGGAAUCACUGGGUUUAAAGGGUGCGUAGGCGGGAAAUUAAGUCAGUGGUGAAAGUCUGUUGCUUAACGAUAGAAUUGCCGUUGAUACUGAUUUUCUUGAAUUGGGUUGAGGUUAGCGGAAUGUGACAUGUAGCGGUGAAAUGCAUAGAUAUGUCAUGGAACACCAAUUGCGAAGGCAGCUAGCUGGGCCUUGAUUGACGCCGAGGCACGAAAGCGUGGGUAGCGAACAGGAUUAGAAACCCUUGUAGUCC
rnacentral:rRNA from 1 species